AUUGAACGCUGGCGGCAUGCUUUACACAUGCAAGUCGAACGGUAACAGGCCUUCGGGUGCUGACGAGUGGCGAACGGGUGAGUAAUGCAUCGGAACGUACCCAGAGGUGGGGGAUAACGCAGCGAAAGCUGUGCUAAUACCGCAUGUGAUCUGAGGAUGAAAGCGGGGGACCGAGCAGCAAUGUUUGGCCUCGCGCCUUUGGAGCGGCCGAUGUCGGAUUAGCUAGUUGGUGGGGUAAAGGCCUACCAAGGCGACGAUCCGUAGCUGGUCUGAGAGGACGACCAGCCACACUGGGACUGGGACACGGCCCAGACUCCUACGGGAGGCAGCAGUGGGGAAUUUUGGACAAUGGGCGCAAGCCUGAUCCAGCAAUGCCGCGUGCGGGAAGAAGGCCUUCGGGUUGUAAACCGCUUUUGGCAGGAACGAAACAGUGUCCGCUAAUACCGGGCGCUAAUGACGGUACCUGCAGAAUAAGCACCGGCUAACUACGUG
rnacentral:rRNA from 1 species